rnacentral:rRNA from 1 species
AGUGAACGCUGGCGGUAGGCCUAACACAUGCAAGUCGAACGGCAGCACAGUAAGAGCUUGCUCUUACGGGUGGCGAGUGGCGGACGGGUGAGGAAUACAUCGGAAUCUACUUUUUCGUGGGGGAGAACGUAGGGAAACUUACGCUAAUACCGCAUACGACCUACGGGUGAAAGCAGGGGAUCUUCGGACCUUGCGCGAUUGAAUGAGCCGAUGUCGGAUUAGCUAGUUGGCGGGGUAAAGGCCCACCAAGGCGACGAUCCGUAGCUGGUCUGAGAGGAUGAUCAGCCACACUGGAACUGAGCCACGGUCCAGACUCCUACGGGAGGCAGCAGUGGGGACUAUUGGACAAUGGGCGCAAGCCUGAUCCAGCCAUACCGCGUGGGUGAAGAAGGCCUUCGGGUUGUAAAGCCCUUUUGUUGGGAAAGAAAAGCAGCAGGUUAAUACCCCGCUGUUCUGACGGUACCCAAAGAAUAAGCACCGGCUAACUUCGUG